rnacentral:rRNA from 1 species
AGCGAACGCUGGCGGCAGGCCUAACACAUGCAAGUCGAACGAAGUCUUCGGACUUAGUGGCGGACGGGUGAGUAACACGUGGGAACGUACCUUUUGGUUCGGAAUAACUUGGGGAAACUCAAGCUAAUACCGGAUAAGCCCUUAUGGGGAAAGGUUUACUGCCGAAGGAUCGGCCCGCGUCUGAUUAGCUAGUUGGUGAGGUAAUGGCUCACCAAGGCGACGAUCAGUAGCUGGUCUGAGAGGAUGAUCAGCCACACUGGGACUGAGACACGGCCCAGACUCCUACGGGAGGCAGCAGUGGGGAAUAUUGGACAAUGGGGGCAACCCUGAUCCAGCCAUGCCGCGUGAGUGAUGAAGGCCUUAGGGUUGUAAAGCUCUUUUACCCGGGACGAUAAUGACUGUACCGGGAGAAUAAGCCCCGGCUAACUUCGUGCCAGCCGCCGCCGUAACAC